rnacentral:rRNA from 1 species
GGAAUCUUCCACAAUGGACGAAAGUCUGAUGGAGCAACGCCGCGUGAGUGAAGAAGGUUUUCGGAUCGUAAAACUCUGUUGUUGGAGAAGAACACGUUUGAGAGUAACUGUUCAGACGUUGACGGUAUCCAACCAGAAAGCCACGGCUAACUACGUGCCAGCAGCCGCGGUAAUACGUAGGUCCCGAGCGUUGUCCGGAUUUAUUGGGCGUAAAGCGAGCGCAGGCGGUUUAAUAAGUCUGAAGUUAAAGGCAGUGGCUUAACCAUUGUUCGCUUUGGAAACUGUGAGACUUGAGUGCAGAAGGGGAGAGUGGAAUUCCAUGUGUAGCGGUGAAAUGCGUAGAUAUAUAGAGGAACACCGGUGGCGAAAGCGGCUGUCUGGUCUGUAACUGACGCUGAGGCUCGAAAGCAUGGGUAGCGAACA